rnacentral:lncRNA from 1 species
CUUGCUGAGUGUCUGUGGCCCAGGGGAGGAUCCUAUGGCUUAACUGUGGGAGCUGAAAUGUGGUUCACACCCCAAGGGCCUGCGUGGGCUCCUACCACCCUGCUCUGGGUUGAGAGGGCGUUGUUCUGGGAGCACCGGUCAGUUGCUCAUCAACAAACCGUGGGGCAUGAGAUGCCACAUGAGCAAGUGUGGUGGGUCCUGCCCUGUGUGAUUGACCUUAACAGGGAAAUGUGCUGGGACAACCAGGCAUGGCUCUGGUGGGCCCUGUGCAGAGGUGGGAGCUCUGCGUGGUGGUCUGGGCAGCCAGGGCAGCUCCUUGAGGCAGAUGAGGUGACUGAGUCCCCACCAAGGGACCAGCAGGGCGGAGGCUGGAAAGGCGGGCCAGCAGCUCAGGGUGUCCUGGAGCACAUGGCUGGGGCCACAGGAGGAAUAGGAGCCCGGCCCGGGUCCCAAGAUGUUCUACAGCAACCUCUGACUGAUGGAGCCAACCAGGACUGGAGCUGGGGUGGCCAGUGGCCUGGUGACAGAGGUGCAGGUGGACCAAGGUGCCACGAGGUUCAGAGUCUGGUCUGUGUGCUGAGAGCAAGCUGGUGGGGUUUGCUGAGGCCUUGGUGGGUGCGCAGGAUGGCAGCAGUAACAGCGAAGGCCGGUGCUUUUUUCCAAGAAAAAGAAGACGGACGAUGGGCUGGAGGUAAACGGUUUGGUUUUAUCACUUUAAGUGUCUUGAUCAGCCACUUGGAUGUCUUGAGGAGGAAGCUGGACGGGGUCUGGAGCCGUGGUGAGGGUCAAUGGCCAGGCAAAGCCACAUAGCUGCCCCUAAUGAGCCUCCAUGGUGGCGGGUGGACACGGAGCAUCAAAGGGUCAGUCUGAGCCCCAGGUCCUCGCAGUGGAGGCCCCGUCUGUCCUACUAGCUGUUUGGGCAGACCCCGGCAUCCUCCAGCUCUACCCAAUAACGCAGUCCCCUCUGCACCAUCCCCCACCCUGAGCCUCCCCACCUCCCCCAGUGCACAGCAGGUGCUGGCGUCUCAGGGCAGGGACAAGACCCAAGUAAGCCCCGGUCCCCUGUGCCAGGCCAGGGUGUGA